GACGAACGCUGGCGGCGUGCUUAACACAUGCAAGUCGAACGGAAAGGCCCUGCUUUUGUGGGGUGCUCGAGUGGCGAACGGGUGAGUAACACGUGAGUAACCUGCCCUUGCCUUUGGGAUAACUUCAGGAAACUGGGGCUAAUACCGGAUAGGAGCUCCUGCUGCAUGGUGGGGGUGGGAAAGUUUCGGCGGUUGGGGAUGGACUCGCGGCUUAUCAGCUUGUUGGUGGGGUAGUGGCUUACCAAGGCUUUGACGGGUAGCCGGCCUGAGAGGGUGACCGGCCACAUUGGGACUGAGAUACGGCCCAGACUCCUACGGGAGGCAGCAGUGGGGAAUAUUGCACAAUGGGCGGAAGCCUGAUGCAGCAACGCCGCGUGCGGGAUGACGGCCUUCGGGUUGUAAACCGCUUUCGCCUGUGACGAAGCGUGAGUGACGGUAAUGGGUAAAGAAGCACCGGCUAACUACGUG
rnacentral:rRNA from 1 species